rnacentral:rRNA from 1 species
GAUGAACGCUAGCUACAGGCUUAACACAUGCAAGUCGAGGGGAAACGAUAGAGAAAGCUUGCUUUUUCUAGGCGUCGACCGGCGCACGGGUGAGUAACGCGUAUCCAACCUGCCCAUCACUUGGGGAUAACCUUGCGAAAGUAAGACUAAUACCCAAUGACGUCUCUAGAAGACAUCUGAAAGGGAUUAAAGAUUUAUCGGUGAUGGAUGGGGAUGCGUCUGAUUAGCUUGUUGGCGGGGUAACGGCCCACCAAGGCGACGAUCAGUAGGGGUUCUGAGAGGAAGGUCCCCCACAUUGGAACUGAGACACGGUCCAAACUCCUACGGGAGGCAGCAGUGAGGAAUAUUGGUCAAUGGACGAGAGUCUGAACCAGCCAAGUAGCGUGCAGGAUGACGGCCCUAUGGGUUGUAAACUGCUUUUAUAAGGGAAUAAAGUGGGAGUCGUGACUCUUUUUGCAUGUACCUUAUGAAUAAGGACCGGCUAAUUCCGUGCCAGCCGCCGCGGUAA